CUCACCGCAACCUCCGCCUCCCAGGUUCAAGCGAUUCUCCUGCCUCAGCCUCCCGAGUAGCUGGGACUACAGGGUCUCACUGUGUUGCCCAGGCUGGAGUGCAGUGGCAUGAUCGCGACUCCUGCAGCCUCAAUCUCCCUCCCAGGAUGAAGUGAUCCUCCUGCCUCUAGGACCACAGGUGGCCCUGAAGCUCCUCGUCCUCCUCCAGCUGCGGGGUCAGGCCAUCGGUGUCGUCCUCUGGAACAGAGCCAAGCCCACCCCAGGGGAGUCCGUGGGAGGUGAAGGAGGCCAAGGCCGCCCCAGGCUCCCUGCGGGUCACCACCUUCUCUGUCCAGUUCCGGGAAAGCACUGGCCGUCCUGCCUGCCUGUGGCUGUUCCUGCUACAGCCCUAAGCAGGCUCCACAGCAGCACAGCACACCCCUCUCCAG
rnacentral:lncRNA from 10 species